AACGAACGCUGGCGGCAUGCCUAACACAUGCAAGUCGAACGAGUGCCUUCGGGUGCUAGUGGCGCACGGGUGCGUAACGCGUGGGAAUCUGCCCUUUGGUUCGGAAUAACAGUUGGAAACGACUGCUAAUACCGGAUGAUGACGAAAGUCCAAGGAUUUAUCGCCAGAGGAUGAGCCCGCGUAGGAUUAGCUAGUCGGUG
rnacentral:rRNA from 1 species